AUUGAACGCUGGCGGCAUGCCUUACACAUGCAAGUCGAACGGUAGCGGGCCUUCGGGUGCCGACUAGUGGCUAACGGGUGAGUAAUGUAUCGGAACGUACCUUUCAGUGGGGGAUAUCGUAGCGAACGUUGUGCUAAUACCGCAUACUCUGUGGGCAGGGAAGCAGGGGAUCGCAAGACCUUGCGCUGGUUGAGCGGCCGAUAUCAGAUUAGCUAGUGGGUGAGGUAAAGGCUCACCAAGGGGACGAUCCGUAGCGGGUCUGAGAGGAUGAUCCGCCACACUGGGACUGAGACACGGUCCAGACUCCUACGGGAGGCAGCAGUGGGGAAUUUUGGACAAUGGGGGCAACCCUGAUCCAGCCAUGCCGCGUGAGUGAAGAAGGCCUUCGGGUUGUAAAGCUCUUUCGGCCGGGAAGAAAUCGUAUCAGCUAAUACCUGGUGCGGAUGACGGUACCGGCAUAAGAAGCACCGGCUAACUACGUGCCAGCCGCCGCAGUAAAAC
rnacentral:rRNA from 1 species